UUCCUUGAGUAGUUAUGAGCAUUAUUUACUAAUAUUUUCUUGUUCAUAAGAAUGGAUUAUUUUUUGCUGAUUCAAAGUAAAUUUUUUUUAAUGGACAUGAAAUUCGUCGUGAUUAUGAACUCAGGAAUUGAACUUUAGACCUGUAUGUCGAUAGAAGAAACUCCAUGGCGUCGUUAUAGAGGACGCUACUGUAUCAAGAUGGCGGUGACAAAGCGGCGGUUACAUUUUGGACUGUUGUUGUUGACAAACAUGUUAUAAUGCGGAGAUGAUAGAAAAUGAAAAAAAAACUAUCGGAAAAAUCAUUCAACUCCACCAAUGCACUUGUGUCAGCAUCAUUACUACUUUUUUAAGG
rnacentral:misc_RNA from 1 species